UAAAACCCAGUUUCUGGCGAUUUGUCUGCUCGAGUUGUAAUUUGUAGAAGGUGCUUCGGAAAGAUCUGAGACUCAAGUUUCUUGGAAAGGAAUGUCAUAGAGGGUGAAAAUCCCGUUUUGUCUCUUGAUUGAUUCCAUGGAAACCCUUUCGACGAGUCGAGUUGUUUGGGAAUGCAGCUCAAAUUGGGUGGUAAAUUUCAUCUAAAGCUAAAUAUUCGUCAGAGACCGAUAGCGCACAAGUAGAGUGAUCGAAAGAUGAAAAGCACUUUGAAAAGAGAGUCAAACAGCACGUGAAAUUGUUGAAAGGGAAGCGCUUGCAACCAGACUUGUUCUACAGUAUUCAGCUGUCACUCGUGGCAGUGCACUUUCUGUUGUAUGGGCCAGCAUCGGUUUUUGUGGUUGGAUAAAGACUUAUGGAAAGUAGCUUUGAUCGUCAAAGUGUUAUAGCCAAAGUGUAAUGCGACCAACGAAGACCGAGGACCGCGCUUUAUGCAAGGAUGCUGGCGUAAUGGUUGCUAGCGACCCGUCUUGAAACACGGACCAAGGAGUGGUACAAUCCCGCGAGCAUUAGGGUGUAAAACUCUUAUGCGUAAUGAAAGUGAACGUAGGUGGGAAGCUUCUGGCUGCACCAUCGACCGAUCCGAGUUCGCAAGGAUUUGAGUACGAGUGUGAUUGUACCGACCCGAAAGAAGGUGAACUAUUCCUGACUAGGGUGAAGCCAGAGGAAACUCUGGUGGAGGCUCGCAGCGGUUCUGACGUGCAAAUCGAUCGUCAAAGCUGGGAAUAGGGGCGAAAGACUAAUCGAACCUUCUAGUAGCUGGUUCCUGUCGAAGUUUCCCUCAGGAUAGCAGCAACGAAUCAAACAGUCUCAUGAGGUAGAGCAACGAUUAGAGGCCUUGGGGUUGAAACAACCUUAACCUAUUCUCGAACUCCGAAUAUGUGAGAAGUCCUUGUUACUUUAUUGAACGUGGACAUUUGGAUUAUCGUGUAUGGCC
rnacentral:rRNA from 1 species